rnacentral:rRNA from 1 species
AUGUUUUCGGUCAUCCGGUUGCCGAAGAAGCCACAGUUGUUGAUGCACAUUAUCGGAGCCUCAGGUGCGUGGACACCCGUAUCCUCCGCCUCUUUCCAACUCUCUUGCGCCAUUUCUGCAGAACACCGAUCACACCUUCAGUAUCGUGAACGGACAAUCAUGGACCUCGAACAUAAUCAAUAUAGGGCUACUAAUGCACAAAAUGAUGUAAAGGAAGCUAAAUGUCAGAUGGCCAUCACAAAUACUUGCCCUGCAAUUGUUCUGAAUAUGAUGAGCACUCAUCAUAACCUACAGAAACCAAUAAGCUGUCUAUUCACAUCAUUAGGAUUAGAGGUCAUAGAUAGGCACUGCGUACCAUCAAAUAAGCACCAUAUUUGUGGAAAGAGGACCCCCUUACACUCAAGUCCCCAUGGCCCAUGCACAUGA